rnacentral:rRNA from 1 species
UACGUAGGGUGCGAGCGUUGUCCGGAAUUAUUGGGCGUAAAGGGCUCGUAGGCGGUUUGUCACGUCUGCUGUGAAAACUGGAGGCUCAACCUCCAGCCUGCAGUGGGUACGGGCAGACUAGAGUGCGGUAGGGGAGAUUGGAAUUCCUGGUGUAGCGGUGAAAUGCGCAGAUAUCAGGAAGAACACCCGUGGCGAAGGCGGUUCUCUGGAACGCAACUGACGCUGAGACGCGAAAGCGUGGGGAGCAAACAGG